rnacentral:rRNA from 1 species
GAUGAACGCUGGCGGCGUGCCUAAUACAUGCAAGUCGAGCGAACGGACGAGAAGCUUGCUUCUCUGAUGUUAGCGGCGGACGGGUGAGUAACACGUGGAUAACCUACCUAUAAGACUGGGAUAACUUCGGGAAACCGUAGCUAAUACCGGAUAAUAUUUUGAACCGCAUGGUUCAAAAGUGAAAGACGGUCUUGCUGUCACUUAUAGAUGGAUCCGCGCUGCAUUAGCUAGUUGGUAAGGUAACGGCUUACCAAGGCAACGAUGCAUAGCCGACCUGAGAGGGUGAUCGGCCACACUGGAACUGAGACACGGUCCAGACUCCUACGGGAGGCAGCUGUAGGGAAUCUUCCGCAAUGGGCGAAAGCCUGACGGAGCAACGCCGCGUGAGUGAUGAAGGUCUUCGGAUCGUAAAACUCUGUUAUUAGGGAAGAACAUAUGUGUAAGUAACUGUGCACAUCUUGACGGUACCUAAUCAGAAAGCCACGGCUAACUACGU